UACGUAGGGUGCGAGCGUUAAUCGGAAUUACUGGGCGUAAAGCGUGCGCAGGCGGUUCGCCAAGUCGGGUGUGAAAGCCCCGGGCUCAACCUGGGAAUUGCAUUCGAGACUGAAUAGCUAGGGUACGGUAGAGGGAAGUGGAAUUUCCGGUGUAGCGGUGAAAUGCGUAGAUAUCGGAAGGAACAUCAGUGGCGAAAGCGACUUCCUGGACCAGUACCGACGUUCAGGCACGAAAGCGUGGGGAGCAAACAGG
rnacentral:rRNA from 1 species